rnacentral:misc_RNA from 1 species
GAAAUGCGAUAAGUAAUGUGAAUUGCAGAAUUCAGUGAAUCAUCGAAUCUUUGAACGCACAUUGCGCCCGCCAGCACUCUGGCGGGCAUGCCUGUUCGAGCGUCAUUUCAACCCUCAGAACCCCUUGCGGGAUCUGGCGUUGGGGAUUGGCAUCCAGCCAGCUCCGAAAUCUAGUGGCGGUCCCUCCGCGACCUCCCCUGUGCAGUAGCGAUACCUCGCAGCGGGACAGCGGUCUGACCACGCCGUAAAACCCCCAACUUCUCAAGGUUGACCUCGAAUCAGGUAGGAAUACCCGCUGAACUUAAGC